rnacentral:rRNA from 1 species
AUUGAACGCUGGAGGAGGGCCUAACACAUGCAAGUCGAGCGAGCGGCGGACGGUUGAGUAAUGUCUGGGAAACUGCCUGAUGGCGGGGGAUAACUACUGUAAACGGUAGCUAAUACCGCAUACCAUCAGAUGUGCCCAGGUGGGAUUAGCUAGUAGGUGGGGUAAUGGCUAACCUAGGCGACGAGCCCUAGCUGGUCUGAGAGGAUGACCAGCCACACUGGAACUGAGACACGGUCCAGACGCCUGCGCGAGGCAGCAGUUGGGAAUAUGGCACAAUGGGCGCAAGCCUGAUGCAGCCAUGCCGCGUGUAUGAAGAAGGCCUUCGGGUUGUAAAGUACUUUCAGCGAGGAGGCGUUACUCGCAGAAGAAGCACCGGCUAACUCCGUGCCAGCAGCCGCGGUAAUUC